rnacentral:rRNA from 1 species
GACUACAUGAAGCUGGAAUCGCUAGUAAUCGUAGAUCAGCAUGCUACGGUGAAUACGUUCCCGGGUCUUGUACACACCGCCCGUCACACCACGAGAGUUUGUAACACCCGAAGCCGGUGGAGUAACCAUUUGGAGCUAGCCGUCGAAGGUGGGACAAAUGAUUGGGGUGAAGUCGUAACAAGGUAGCCGUAUCGGAAGGUGCGGCUGGAUCACCUCCUUUCUAAGGA